rnacentral:rRNA from 1 species
CCUACGGGCGGCAGCAGUGAGGAAUAUUGGUCAAUGGGCGGAAGCCUGAACCAGCCAAGUAGCGUGCAGGAUGACGGCCCUACGGGUUGUAAACUGCUUUUAUACGGGAAUAACGCGCCUUACGUGUAGGGCUUUGCAUGUACCGUAUGAAUAAGGACCGGCUAAUUCCGUGCCAGCAGCCGCGGUAAUACGGAAGGUCCGGGCGUUAUCCGGAUUUAUUGGGUUUAAAGGGAGCGUAGGCCGCAUGUCAAGCGUGCUGUGAAAUGUCCGGGCUCAACCCGGGCCUUGCAGCGCGAACUGGCGGGCUUGAGUCCGCGGAAGGCAGGCGGAAUUCGUCGUGUAGCGGUGAAAUGCUUAGAUAUGACGAAGAACCCCGAUUGCGAAGGCAGCGUACCGGCGCCAGACUGACGCUGAGGCACGAAAGCGUGGGGAUCGAACAGGAUUAGAUACCCCUGUAGUC